rnacentral:piRNA from 1 species
UAAAGUGCACAUGAACCUGCUGCUGGC